UUCUAUAAAAGUCAUUUUUAAGCAAUUAAUUAAUAAGAGAACUCAUAAUAUAUGUCUAAAUAUCUAGUGCAGAAUAAAUACACAAGCCCGAUAUCAGGGUGUCACAAGUCACGAGCAUCUACUAAGGUCUGAAUACAACAAAAAGUUUGAAAAUAUACUAAAACAGUCCAAGGAAGAUAAGAGGGAGAAGAGCAGGGCUGCGAACGCUGGGAGCCACCUUGCUAACUCCGAUGAACCUACCACUGAGUAAUCAACACCCAUUACUGGGUUUAGAAAUACCUGAAUCUGCAUACAAGGUGUAGGGAGUAAUGUGAUUACACUAACGCAGUAUGUAAUAAGAGUAAAUAAAGACUGUGCGGUCAGAAAACACAUAAUUCACGUCAUAACACCACAGUAAGUAUAGUGUGUUUCCAUAGCAGUAUAUAAAUCAAAUCAUUUCAUUAAAAAUCCAGUUUACGGUAGAAAUCAUUUGAAGAUGUGGAAAAUCCGUUUCAAACAUCUUUCAGAAGUUUUCAAACAAAUGAUGAAACAUUGAGUAGAAAUGAUGAAAACAUAGUCGGUCUCUCGGGAAAAAACUUACUCGUAUACAGUCCCUCGGGCACAAUGAAUCACAAAUUGCCCCUCGAGCAAAAUAUCAACAGAACCAGCCCCUCGGGCUACCUCAUAAUGACUCAUAAUCAGCCUCUUGGGCACAAUAUAAAUCAAUAAAAGCCCCUCGAGAAACAUCAUAUCACUCACACCGGGUACCCGCGCUCACUAGGGGUGUUCAAACUCCUGAGGGGCUCCUACAGCCCAAGUACUAUAAGAAGCCAUCUCGUGGCAUAAUCAAUCAGGUCUUCGGCCUCACAUAACAUGCCACCUCAUAGUAUAAUAAAUUAGGCCCUCGGCCUCUCAUAUAUCACAAAUCAGUACAACAUGUUACACGCGCAGCCCGAUCCCAUGAUAUCCUCACAACACAGGACCUUGGCCUCACUCGGUCAGAAACCUCUCAAGCCACUCGGGCAACAGUAGAGUAGGAUGCUCAGCUCAAAAAUAUCAUUUAAUGUAUCAAAAUGGAUUAAAUACAACUAACUUAUGAAAUCAGUAACAUACAGCAUGGUUGAGUAUAGAUAUUAAGUCAAAACAGUAAGGAAUAGUAGUAUAAAUCCCCUAAGGGUCCAAAUAAUUGGCACGAGGCCCAAAUAGGGCAUUCAACCCAAAACAUAAUAAUACUUUCCAAACCUAAUAGUAUCAAAUAGUUUUCAAUCAAAUACGCGACUUAAUAGUCGUACGGGAUGGACCAAGUCACAAUCCCAAAUGGUGCACGACCCCACGCUCAUCAUCUAACAUGUGUGUUGCCUCAAAGUAGCACAACAAUGUGAAAUCUAGGGUUUCAUACCCUCAAGACAACAUUUACAAUCAUUACUUAACUCAAACCGGUCCAAACUCUAGCCCGCGAUGCCUCUGCCUCUCGACUCGGCCUCCAACCGCUCCAAAUCUAACCAAAAUCAGUAUAUUAUCAUCAAUAUACACUAAAGGAACAAAUCCCAAGCGAAAAUAUUCAAAUUAACUCAAAAUCCCGAAAUUUGCUCAAACCCGACCCCCCGGCCCACAUCUUGGAAUUCGAUAAAAAUCACAUCACAAGAAUCCUCAUCCUCCCAUGAAUCUAUACAUACAAAGAACAUUAACAUCGGACCUCAAAUUCCCCUAAAAUCCCAAAUUCAACUCUCCAAAUUUUCUUCCAUUUUCACCCCAAUUUCCCAAAUUAAAUGAUAAAAAUCAAGACAUAAUCAUGGGAUCUAACCAAAUUUGAGUGAAGAACACUUACCUCAAUCAAUCCUUUGAAAAUCCCUUACAAAAUCACCUUCUCCCAAGCUCUCUAAUGAAUUUUUGAGAUUAUGGAUCAAAACCCUAGAUUUGAACUUCAAGUUUCUGCCCAGAAGCGACCUUUAUCGUGAACACUACCACCUUCUCGCGUUCGCGUAGAACAAACCUCCACUGCUCACCUUUUCCUCUUUCGAGAACGCGGGCUCCUUCUUGCGAACACAAAGAUUCAGAUGCCAAAGCCUUCUCGAACGGAACCCCUCCUAUGCGAAUGCGAUGAGAAAACUCCUAGGGUCCCCAACUUCCUUACUCCUCUUCGCGAACGCGACACUAUUCACGUGUUCGUGAUGCUCACACUGCCUUACCCUCCGAAUUCGCGUCCUCUCCUUCAUGAACGCGUAGAAUAGAAUUCACCACCUCAGAGAACACUCUUCACAAACGCGAGACCCUGACCGUGAACGCGAAGAACAAACCUUCUGCAACAAAAUACCAGCAAAAUCGGCCAAUCUUUCAAGUCCAAAAAUGACCCAUUGUGCAUCCGAAACACGCUUGAGGCCUCGGGCCCUCAACCAUACAUGCCAACACAUCCCAUAACAUUAUUAAAACUUAUUCGAGCCUUCGAAUCACUCAAAACAACAACAAAUUAACCUAGGAUUCAAAUCUAAGAACUUAUAAACUUUAAAAUUUCCACAAACGACGCCGAAACCAAUCAAAUCACCUCCGAAUGAACUCAAAUUUUGCACACACCACCCAAAUGACACAACAGACCUACUCUAAUUUUCGGAUUUCCAUUCGGACCCCAAUAUCAAGGUUUCCACUGCCGACCAGAAACUCAAAAUUUCUAAUUUCACAAUUCAAGCCUAAAUCAACCCGAACCUCCAAAUCACAUUCCAGAUGCUCUCCCAAGUCUAAAAUCACCUAACGGAGCUAACAAAAUCAUUAAAAUUCAAAUCAUAAGUCGAAUACUAAAAGUCAAAACUUGGUCAAACCUUUCAAAUUUAACUUAGCUCGAGCCUCGUCAGAUUGGCGCUCGGGGCCCCGCUCGAAUGUACCGACAGUUUUAAAAAGAUCAAAUGGACUCGCUCGAACCCUCGAAACGCCGAUUGAAACCAAAAAUUUUUCCAAUGUGACGAAACACACUUAUACUACUCGGAUUUACACCAAAUUUGCGUGUAAGUCUUAAAUGAUAUUACAAAACUAUUCCCGAGCUCAGAAUUCCAUUCGGACCUCGAUAUCACAAAAACCCUCUCCAAACCAAAUUUAAAGAACUUCUAAAAAUCCUUAAGGAAUCAACUUUUCAUAUUAGGCACCAAAAUGCUCCUGGUUCAUUCAAAACCUGAUCCGGGCAUACGCCAAGUCUGAAAUCAUCAUAUUGACCUAUUGGAACCGUCAAAUCCCGAUUCCGAGGUCGUUUACUCAAAAUGUUGACCGAAGUCAAACUUGGCCUUUUAAGCCAAACUUAAGGAACCAAAUGUUCCGAUUUCGAUCCAAACUCUUCCAAAUUCCGAACCAACCAUCCUCCAAGUCAUAUAUCAGUUAAAGAAGGGAAACCGACCAGUCAGGUCGUUACACCCAGAUAAGUCCAUAUUUUUGUUCCCGAAAGGGAUACCUCUUGUUUUAAACUCGUUCUCUAUUCCAUUGUUUUUUUUUCUUUGAAUCACUUUCGGUCUAAGUUUGUUCCAAAAAUAAGGCAAAGAAAAGACGACAAGACCAAUUUAUAGGGUUCUCGUUUGAAGCGAGCUGAUAUAUUCAAAUGGCGCCCAACCUCGACAAGGGCAUCAAGUCGACCCCGACUGGCCAUGAUUGCCCGAUGCUUUGAAAUGAAUUUUUUUUAAAGAAGUCAAAAUUGAAAUACUCAUAAAGGCAACAUAAAGUUGAAAAAGGUUAAGUACUGUCAUGUCAAAGUUUGGAAAAUCUAAUGGUUCUCCAGAGUUAGAAAUGCAGUUGGUAUUCAGGAAAUAAUCAGUUGCAGUUGAAAUCGUUAAAGAAAAUGAGCUGAGAUCAAGAAAUUGAAAUAAUCAAGGCCACAAACCGACCUCCAUUUUAAAACUAACAGUUUUUUCGUUGUUUAGAACACGAACAAAACAAUUGUAAGAAACGGUUUGUGAAAAGACAACACCACCAAGUAAAGUUCUCAAAUCCUUUAUUUUUUUUCCAAUAUACAUGUAAACAUGUUACUUUUAGCUUCAUUAUAUGGAAUCAAUACCCUAUCUUUAAUACAGGGCACUACAUCCCCUGAUUGAAUUACUUUCUGCCAACAUAGGGUACGACAUUCCCUAGUAGCAUCUUAGAGUGCCACAAGCCUCAUUUUAUUGCCAACAUAUGGAACGACAUUCACUAGUAGCAUCUCAAAGCGCCACGAGCCUCAUUUGUUUUUCCAACAUAGGGUACGACAUUCCCUUGUAGCAACUUAGAGCUCCAUGAAACUCAUUUUAUUGCCAAUAUAGGGUACGAUAUUCCCUAGUAGCAUCUCAGCGUACCACGAGCCUCAUUUUAUUGCCAACAUAGAGUACGACCUUGCUUAGUAGCAUCUCAUAGCGUCACAAGCCUUAUCUUUUCAGCAACACAGGGUACACAUCCCCUGACUGCAUUAUAUAAUGCCAACAUAGGGUACGACAUUCCCCAGUAGAAUUCCAGAGUGCCACGAGUCUCAUUUUAUUGCCAACAUAGGGUACAACAUUCCCUAGUAGAAUCUCAGAGCGCCACGAGCCUCAUUUAUUUUCCAACAUAGGGUACGACAUGCCCUGGUAGCAUCUUAGAUCUCCACGAGACUCAUUUUAUUUCCAUCAUAGGGUACAACAUUCACUAGUAGCAUCUCAGAGCAUCGAGGGCCUCAUUUUAUUGCCAACAUAGGGUACGACAUUCCUUAGUAGCAUCUCAGAGCGCCAACAACCUCGUCUUAUCAUCAACACAGGGUAUCACAUAACUUAACUGCAUUACUUUCUGCCAAUAUAGGGUACGAGAUUCCUUAGUAGCAUCUCGGAGUGCCAUGAGCCUCAGUUUAUUGCAAACAUAGGGUACGACAUUCCCUAGUAGCAUCUUAGAGGUCCAUGAGCCUCAUUUUAUUGCCAACAUAGGGUAAGACAUUCCCUAGUAGCAUCUCAGAGUGCCACGAGACCCAUCUUAUUGCCAACGCAUGGUACAAGAUCCCCUGGUUGCAUUUUAUUGCCAACAUAGGGUACAACAUUCCUUAAUAGCAUCCUAGAGUGUCGCGAGCCUCAUCUUAUUGUCAACACAGGGUACUACAUCCCCUGUUUUUAUUAAUUAAAAUAAAUCUUUUUUCAAAUCUUUAUUCUGCAAUAGCAAAGAUAGUUAUUGUGUUUUCAAUAACUCACAAAAGAUUUCUACUGCAAACUGGGGUAGAAAAUUUUUGUUCUUUUUAAUUGUUUGUGAUGGCUUGAAGGUUUUCCCGCAAAGAAUAGAUUGGAUGUGCAAGAAUAAAGAUUCUAGCUCUUUCUAGAGAGAGUGGAACUUUGAUAACUAUACCAGCCGCAAUAAGCAUUGACUAGGGCUCAAAAUCCGUCUUCUCAUCAUCUGAUCAAGAAACAAGCCUGUGAGAAUAUCUUUAUUAUGUGCUACAUCGAGAGCAUCAAGUUUCAGUAUAAAUUCAAUAGGGGAAGCAACUUCUGAAUCAAGACAAGACUCUAGAUGGCCUUUAGAUAGGAAUUUUGUAAUUCUUAGAUUUCAAGAGUAUGUAAUUUUUUUUUUAUUUUGAUGUAAUAAUAGGAACCGCGACAGAACUUCGCUCGACUAUCUAUCUAAGCAUGCUCUAUCUGUCAUUUUUCACUUGAACUACCCGUGACCGGAUUCCCUUAUAACCUGAGAAAUGUAGCAUGCCUAAAACCAAGGCUCCAUCCCAUCUUUUUCUUUAUCUUCUUCUCCUUUUCAAACAAUAGUGAGGUCAAAAAUAAUUGACAUUGUUCAUUCUCUUUGCCUAAAACUCUUAAUGUUUCCAAGCAAAGAGGGGCAUGGUGUGAACAACUAAUUUUUGACUGCACUCAAAUAUUAAAACAAAAAUACUAAAACUAACUUAGGAAACUAAUAUUAGUAUAUAUAUAUAUAUAUAUAUAUAUAUAUAUAUAUACUUAUAGAAUAUAUUUAUUCUUAUUACUAAAUAAUAAAUAAUGAAAAUUUACAACAAUAUAGGGUUUCUUUUAAUUAGAAAUAGUAUAAUUAAGUUAGUUUUAGUAUUUUUCUUAGUAUAAUUUAAACUACAAUGUAAAUAUUUUGUUUUCUUAUGUAUAUAAUAUUUAAGUAUAAAAAUAACUGACUAAUAUUUUUAACUAUGCACUUAACUUUCUCUUUUCUUCAUUUAAAAAAAAAAGAAAAAAAAAGAACAGAAGUAAAAGUUAUUGAAAACAAAAGAAAGCAACAAACGAAAAGAAACAAAACAAAUAAUACAAAAGAUCAGACACCCACGUCCCACUCCUCACAUCUUCAUUUCUAAACAAAUAAUCCCCAUUUUUUCCAACUACCCAGGGCCCACUCCUCACAUCCCAACUAUUCGCUCAAUCCAAUUCCAUGAUCAUACACACAUACACACGAUCUGACACCAAAAGAUCCUCAUGAACUCAAUUCACACAAAGAGGGGGAAAGGAUGAACUUGACUCCUAUUUAGAAAACAACGAGAGAGGCAGAGGAAUGGAAGAAAAAUGAUCACAACUAAGAAAAAAGGAUUGUUCUUUUAUAGUAAAGAUUCAUUUAGAAAACUGUUUAGUUUAAGUUAUUUAGUUUGAAGACGGAGUUUGAAAUUUCGUUCACGGUUCCGAGCUAGAGGUUGCCGGUCAAGUCUCUGUGUUUCUUAUCCUGUUUGCUUUCAAACUCGGUUACCAUUCAUUCUCUGUAACCCAAUAUUUGCAGAUUAUUUCUCAACACAGCGAAGAAGGUUAUUACAUUAAAGGUCCCUCUCUAAUUCUUGCUUUCUUAUCACUGUUUGUUAUUUAUGUAAAUGAAUUUAUUUUGUCUUUUAUGAAUGCCUCAUGUUAUGUUAAAAUUUAAUUUUUUAAAUUUGAUUCAUCAUAUGUUAAUGAAUUAGUGUUUGGUGCUUUAUGUAAGCUGAGGGCUAAGAUUGAAUGAAAUAUUCAUUUGGCUAUACAUUUUUUCUUAGCUCUUUUGUUCCUAUGUAUUAUGCUUUAAUUCCAUCUCAGUGUAUUUCUUCUUAGUUAAUAUUUGAUCAUAUUUAUCCGUUAUGAGUCCGGGUUUUAUUCAAUCACUAGUGCAUUUCUCCGCGCUUCGUGCGAUCAUAAAAACUUUAUUAAAUAUAAAUAAUAAAUUUUUUAUAAUAUCUGAAUAUUAAAAAUAUGUUAAAGGUUAUUGUUAGAUUUCAAAUCCAAAUUGAUUAAAUUUCAAGUUCAUUAUUAAAAGUAGUAAAAACAUAAAUAAUUCACAGGUUAAUUUUUUGUAAUUCCAAUCGAGAUGAAACAAAUAAAAUUUUUGUAUACUCAGACAAACGUUAGAUAGUUCUACAUAUUGAUUAAAGUACAUAUAUAAUGAUUUGACCAUAAUUAUAGUUUAAAAAUGUAGUUCAUACUGAUCUUAUUAAAUUAUGUGGUUGAGAAACAAACUUAUUAAUGCAUAUGGAUUACUCAAGAUCAAUGACACUAUUAUCCUUAAAUUUUUAAUCUAAGUACUGAUUUUUGACAUCCAAAUAGUAGAUGCUCCCUUGACAUUAAUUAUUGUAUCUUUUAUCUCCUCCAUAUUUUCUAUCGACAACGGUAUCACCUAAAAUUUGAGUGAUCUCUCUCUUUUUAUAUUUGACCUCUAAGUUUUUUUUUUAUUUAUAUCCAUGUCAAACCCAAACUGUAGUUAAUUUUCCAAACAAAAGUAUUGUGGACCUUUAUUACUUUUGAACUUGUAGGUUAUAGAUGUAGUACUACUACAUGAUACAACGCCAAUAGCUUUAGAUAUGUCAGUAAGUAAAAUUUAUUUAUACUAUAAUAAUUAGUUUUAAGUCACGUUUUAAGCAAUGUAACGUUAAUAAUUUACUGUUAAUUUUUCUUUGGUUAUUGAUUACCACUAUAGUUUAAAACUGCAAAACAACUAUUUUAGGUGAAUAGUAAUAAUCAUUAGAGUAAACAAACAAAGGUUUAUUGGAGUUGAUGAACUUUAAAAGGAAAAAAAUAAAGCAUAAUCCACAUACUAUAGGAGGUGUUUUGGCUCCAUCAAAUAGAAUGAAAAAGAGAGCAAACUUUUUGUAAUAGUUUGGUAAAAAAAAAUAAUUAGAUGAAACAUUUCAUCUUUAUAUGAUGGGGAAUAUAGAAGAGGAUCUUGACAUAAUUAGUCAUACAAAUGAGUGAACUUGAAAAAAGUAUAAGUAUAUAUAUAUAUAUAUAAAGAGAGAGUGCAAUAUAAUACAAACCUUAAGGGAGACCUAACAUAACAUAAUCCAUUCAAUGAAAGUUAACAAUGGUCGAAGAAAAACUAUUGUUUCCUCUAGUAUUUUUUUUAUGAAGUUUUAGCAUUCACCUUUAUCUUAUGAAUAUAAUAUUUUUUAUAUACAUAAAUACGUAUAUUCCCUUUGAAAAUAAAAAUUAUAUAUUUUUAUAGCUUUUUCGUAUAUUUUAAAUGUCAAAAGAAAAAAGGAAGAGAGAAAAGUUAUUAAAAAAAAUUAAGGAAUGUAACUUAAAUGCAGGAUAGGAGCAUUUACAUUUGUAUUUCCACUUCCUUCCCUUUGCUAUGUUUUAUUAUUUAUUUAGUAUAUUUAGAUUCUUUUUUAUUUGCUGCGCUUUUAUUUUUCUUUUUAAUUUUCCUCUUUUUAUCUUUCUAUGCAAUUCUCUGUCUUCUUCCCUUACUCUAUAAUCCGCCACCUCCUCUUACGCAUUCUUUUUCGAUCAUCACAGCAAAAUCUAUCACCUACUGGAAAAAAAAACAAUGAAUAUCACCUAAGCUUAUAGGAUCAUCCACAAAACCAUCCCAUUUACGACUCCAAAAAUGAAGCAGGUGAGUUAAAAUUUAAAUAGAUAUAGUUAUUCAAAAAAUCUGUCAAUAAAAGCAAAUAUAUAAAUAACUUGUUUCAUUAGAUGAAUAAAACCACCAUUGAUAAUGAACAUCAGCAAGACCAUGUUACUUAUCUGCAAGUCAUGUUACUUUUGACUUCUGAAAAGGUUUCGUCGACGCCAUUAAAGCAACAGGUGCAUCCUAUUACAAACUCUUCAGCGGUCAUAAUAGUGAACAUUUUAAAAACUAAGACGACUUGCUGCAAAUCAAAUCCACCGCAUAAAGUUACUCAAUAUAAGAGUAGUAGGAGGAAAACAAUGGAGGAAGAUGCAAUUAUAAUGCAUUAAACAAAUGGGGUUAUGAAUUAGAAAAGUUAUAAUCCAAGAUGCUAGUUAUAACAUAUUAAACAAUUGGGGGUUAUGGACUUGAAAAGUCACAACCCUCAUUUAAAAGAUGUGAGUUAUGGAUGUGAAUUUUUAAAAUAAGAUAAAUGGUUAAAAUAAAAAAGAAAAUGCCAAAGAUGAGAAAAAAGAUAAAUAGAAUUCCUACACUACGAGGAUGCCACAUCAUCUUGCCAAUUGCCUCCUUGGAUAAGAUCCAUUCCUACUGCUUUCUUCUCAAAAUUAAAUUCCACUACAAUGUCCGAAUGCUGCUGAUCUAAAGUUUCAUUCGCAGGUCCCAAAACAGAUUGAAACCAAAAAGAAGAGCAACAUCAAUUCAAAAUGAUAAUUAUCAGCCAAAAACAAUACAUAAAUGAAUUUUCAGGAAAAAAAAAGGAUAAAUGAAACUACAUCGACAAAAUCAAAGUAAUAUAAAGAACAUAUUAAUGGAAUUAGAAGAAGAAGAAGAAAAAAGGAUCAAUAGAAUUACAUCCAAAGGAAAAAUGUUGUAGACAAAAAACUAUAAGAAGAUAAAGAACAUGGUAAAUAGAAUGAAACCAAGGUGAGAAUAUUUUAGGUAAUAAAACUGCAAAAAGUUACGAAACUGAUAAAUAAAAUUUUAUUCAAAGUAACAAUUCUCUACGCAAAACGGAAAAUUGAAAAAAGAUAUAGAACGAAAAACGGAAAAAUGAUUACAAAAGGAUGUUAU
rnacentral:lncRNA from 1 species